AUUGAACGCUGGCGGCAUGCCUUACACAUGCAAGUCGAACGGUAACAGCUCUUCGGAUGCUGACGAGUGGCGAACGGGUGAGUAAUACAUCGGAACGUGCCCGAUCGUGGGGGAUAACGAGGCGUAAGCUUUGCUAAUACCGCAUACGAUCUACGGAUGAAAGCGGGGGAUCUUCGGACCUCGCGCGGACGGAGCGGCCGGUUGCAGAUUAGGUAGUUGGUGGGAUAAAAGCUUACCAAGCCGACGGUUUGGAGCCGGUCUGAGGGGAAGAGCCGCCACAUUGGCACUGAGGCACGGCCCAGACUCCUGCGGGAGGCCGCAGUGGGGAAUUUUGGGCAAUGGGGCAAAGGCUGAUCCAGCCAUGCCGCGUGCAGGAUGACGGACCUUGGGUUUGUAACUGCUUUUGUACGGAACAAAAAGCCUCUUUCUAAUAAAGAGGGGUCAUGACGGUACCGGAAGAAUAAGCACCGGCUAACUACGUG
rnacentral:rRNA from 1 species